rnacentral:pre_miRNA from 1 species
UCACCUCCGCAGGCUGCCGGCCCCCAGGCUGGGCUGGGCGAGUAUCUCUUCAAAAGACUCACCCUCAAGCAGGACUAGGAGC